rnacentral:rRNA from 1 species
UGGGGAAUAUUGCACAAUGGGGGAAACCCUGAUGCAGCAACGCCGCGUGAAGGAAGAAGGUUUUCGGAUCGUAAACUUCUAUCGAUGGGGAAGAAUAAAUGACGGUACCCAAGUAAGAAGCCCCGGCUAACUACGUGCCAGCAGCCGCGGUAAUACGUAGGGGGCAAGCGUUAAUCGGAAUUACUGGGCGUAAAGGGUGCGCAGGCGGAUGUUUAAGUUAGAAGUGAAAUCCCCGGGCUUAACCUGGGAAUUGCUUUUAAGACUGGGCAUCUAGAGUUUGUCAGAGGGGGGUGGAAUUCCGCGUGUAGCAGUGAAAUGCGUAGAUAUGCGGAGGAACACCAAUGGCGAAGGCAAUCCCCUUGACCUGUACUGACGCUCAUGCACGAAUGCGUGGGGAGCA